CCUACGGGAGGCAGCAGUAGGGAAUUUUCCACAAUGGGCGAAAGCCUGAUGGAGCAACGCCGCGUGGGUGAAGAAGGUCUUCGGAUCGUAAAACCCUGUUGUUAGAGAAGAAAGUGCGUGAGAGUAACUGUUCACGUUUCGACGGUAUCUAACCAGAAAGCCACGGCUAAAUACGUGCCAGCCGCCGCGGUAAUACGUAGGUGGCAAGCGUUAUCCGGAUUUAUUGGGCGUAAAGGGAACGCAGGCGGUCUUUUAAGUCUGAUGUGAAAGCCUUCGGCCUAACCGGAGUAGUGCAUUGGAAACUGGGAGACUUGAGUGCAGAAGAGGAGGGUGGAACUCGAGGUGUAGCGGUGAAAUGCGUAGAUAUAUGGAAGAACACCGGUGGCGAAGGCGGCUCUCUGGUCUGUAACUGACGCUGAGGUUCGAAAGCGUGGGUAGCAAACAGGAUUAGAUACCCCAGUAGUC
rnacentral:rRNA from 1 species